CAAAUACUCCCUCCGUCCGGAAAUACUUGUGAUCAAAAUGGAUAAAAGGAAAUGUAUCUAGACGUAUUUUAGUUUUAGAUACAUCUCUUUUUAUCCAUUUUGAUGACAAGUAUUUUCGGACAGAGGGAGUAGAAA
rnacentral:pre_miRNA from 1 species